CACAGCUCGGGCCCGAGCCGCGAUGGGCUCAGCUUCUGUUGCACGUCUGCCUCCGCUGUUCGUCCAUGGCGGCUGCAUCGGCCGCCUGCGUCGUCGGCAUCCAUCGCCGACUGUCAGGUAUCAGCAGUUCACAAAAUACUCGUGAAUCAAUUCAUUCCCUCGGCGUCGAACAUUUGUGUCUGGUGAUAUUCGUGUGUUCCAUGUGAUAUUGAUUCAUCCUAGCACACGGCGUCCUGUAUUGCAUUUGUGUAUAGCUUUACAUGGUGUCUGGUGAUAUUCGUGUGUUCCAUGUGAACAUCUUACUUGGUGUUUGGUAAGUUCGUGCAUUUGAGAUAAAUUGGGACCAGGCUGUAUUUGUGUUGUUCGCUUACAAUUUUGGGUAUAUUUUUGGUGUAUCAGGUGUCAAAAAUUGUAGCUGAUGAGAUGAAUAAUUACCUGUUGUUUGACCACACCUUGCAGAUUCGUGUUUCCCAGCAUAACUUCUAGGUUUCUGCUGGAGCCCCACCACUAAUGGUGCACAAAGAAUUACUACACCUAUUCGGGUCACUCUGACAACGGGUGCUGCUUAUGAAGCCUCAGUUGAGACGCGCCUUUAAUUCCUUAAAUCAAAAUUGAUGUGAUGGGAUUUCAAACAUCAGUUUGAGAGAAAUCUGUUUUGCCUUGAGAAAAUUUUCAUGGAGUUCUACCAUGGUUCUUGCUACUGCCGAUGGCAGGCGAAAAGCGGUCCCUGGAGCUUCAGCACAAGGGUCAGGCUUUCCAGGGAGAAAAGAGGGCAGCACUUUUUUUCUUCAAAUGAUACUCUUUGUAGUGUGUCUCUUCCAAGACAGGAACUGAGUAUUUCUAUAGUAUUUUUGUUUACAAUUAAUUAGCUACAAUCAAGGCAUCAUGCGAGGACCGAGCUCCUUGAGAAGUUGUUUUCAUGAUUAUGUGUUAUUAUGCAAACUUUCUCUCAAUUCAUAAAUGAAAUG